AACGAUCUUUUUACAGCACCUCCCACACUUCCAACCCUCCGGUUUACAAGGGGAAAAACCAAAAAAGAAACAACCCUACCCACGCAUGCACGUUUCCUAUGCAAUCCAGAACUGCCGCUAGACCAGGCAAAAUCAACGCACCGACGGGAGGCCGCCAUGUGCACCGUUUCAAUGGUGUUCCUCCUCGAGGAGCGCGUCACUAGCAUGACGCGGGCGGGGAAGUGGUGGACGCGCAGGGUUCACGCCUACGUUUGGGGUGGCCAUCGCGCUCUACCUCCUGGCCUCUGAACUCACCAGCAUCGGUCGCCGCGGCGGCGUUGUCUCUAUCGUCUUCAUCGAGAUGCUCCUGGUGGUCCUCUAUAAAGCCCCGAGCCCUAGACAGGGUUGAUCGUCGAGGCGGAAGCGGCUGAGGCCCGGAGCCCCCUCGAAUUGCCACGACUCAUGGAGGAGCAGAAAACAAGUCGGCAGCGUGCCUGAGCUAGGGCAGUGGCGGCUGCAAUCCAGGACCGCUCGUCUCGGCAUCGCAGAAUCGCAGGCGAGGGUGCCGGUGACGGCUGCCAGGUGCUCGUGGGGCUACUGAAGGGCGCGGGCGAGGCACAUGGUUGAUGCUUGGGACAGCUGCGGAGCGGCGUGCGCGAGUGCAGGGCAGGCAGUAGCCAGGGCGGCGGGAGAGGACCUAGGACACGUUGUGUUCAUGUAAUCAUCUUGUUCGUCUCUCCCUUUUGUUCGUCCUGUGUGACUAUGUUUUCCUCUUAUAUCCUGUAGCUCUAACUAUGCUUUCCUCUUGCAUCCUGUAGCUUUAAGAACGACUUGUGCAGGUAAUUUAUUUCUGGUCACCAAAACAAGUUUGUUCUUACACUUUGAUGUUAUGAUUUGUCAUUAUGCACUAACAUUGAGAGUACUAAUGGGUAGCAUGGUAUGAUCAAGAGAAGGGAAUAAUUUUCUACAGGUUAUUUUGUUAAUGAUAAUGACACGAAAUCACCAUGAAUAUUAAUAUACAGGAGGGAGUACUAUUUUAUUGGUGUCAUUUAAUAUCUAAUUAUUUUGUUUCAAAUAAAGUACCAAAUUUAGUGAUUAAUUUUUCUUUACCGCGUCAUGCACGCAUCUCUAAUC